rnacentral:rRNA from 1 species
UACAGAGGGGGCGAGCGUUGUUCGGAAUUACUGGGCGUAAAGGGCGCGUAGGCGGCCUCUUAAGUCGAUCGUGAAAUCCCCGGGCUCAACCCGGGAACUGCGUCCGAUACUGGGGGGCUUGAAUCCGGGAGAGGGAUGUGGAAUUCCAGGUGUAGCGGUGAAAUGCGUAGAUAUCUGGAGGAACACCGGUGGCGAAGGCGGCAUCCUGGACCGGUAUUGACGCUGAGGCGCGAAAGCUAGGGGAGCAAACGGG